CUGACGCAGCCAUGCCGCGUGAGUGAAGAAGGUCUUAGGAUUGUAAAGCUCUUUCGCUCGUGACGAUGAUGACGGUAACGAGAGAAGAAGCCCCGGCUAACUUCGUGCCAGCAGCCGCGGUAAUACGAAGGGGGCUAGCGUUGUUCGGAAUUACUGGGCGUAAAGCGCGCGUAGGCGGUUUUGCAAGCCAGAGGUGAAAUGCCUGAGCUCAACUCAGGAAUGGCCUUUGGGACUGCGAGGCUUUGAGGACUGGAGAGGUGAGUGGAAUUCCCAGUGUAGAGGUGAAAUUCGUAGAUAUUGGGAAGAACACCGGUGGCGAAGGCGGCUCACUGGCCAGUUUCUGACGCUGCAGCGCGAAAGCGUGGGGAUCAAACAGGAUUAGAUACCCUGGUAGUCCACGCUGUAAACGAUGAGUGCUAGGCGUCGGCAUGCAUGCAUGUCGGUGCCGCAGCUAACGCGUGAAGCACUCCGCCUGGGGAGUACGGUCGCAAGAUUAAAACUCAAAGGAAUUGACGGGGGCCCGCACAAGCGGUGGAGCAUGUGGUUUAAUUCGACGCAACGCGCAGAACCUUACCAGCCCUUGACAUCC
rnacentral:rRNA from 1 species